rnacentral:rRNA from 1 species
CCCUUAGAUGUUCUGGGCCGCACGCGCGCUACACUGAUGGAUUCAACGAGUUUUAUUCUACUCUUUAAUGGGUGGGUAUGUCCUUGGUCGGAAGGCCUGGGUAAUCUUGUAAAUGUCCAUCGUGAUGGGGCUAGAUUUUUGCAAUUUUGAAUCUCCAACGAGGAAUUCCUAGUAAACGCAAGUCAUCAGCUUGCAUUGAUUACGUCCCUGCCCUUUGUACACACCGCCCGUCGCACCUACCGAUUGAACGGUCCGGUGAAAUCUUGGGAUUUGCAUGUUGUUGAUUGAUUUCAGGAUGUGCGAAGAACUUGAGUAAACCUUACCGUUUAGAGGAAGGUGAAGUCGUAACA